rnacentral:tRNA from 3 species
GGGCCCGUAGCUCAGGGGUAGAGCAGUCGCCUCUUAAGCGAACGGUCGAAGGUUCGAAUCCUUCCGGGCUCA